GGAUUGCCCUAGUAACGGCGAGUGAAGCGGCAACAGCUCAAAUUUGAAAUCUGGCUCUUUCAGAGUCCGAGUUGUAAUUUGCAGAGGGCGCUUUGGCGUUGGCAGCGGUCCAAGUUCUUUGGAACAGGACGUCACAGAGGGUGAGAAUCCCGUACGUGGUCGCUAGCCUUCGCCGUGUAAAGCCCCUUCGACGAGUCGAGUUGUUUGGGAAUGCAGCUCUAAAUGGGAGGUAAAUUUCUUCUAAAGCUAAAUAUUGGCCAGAGACCGAUAGCGCACAAGUAGAGUGAUCGAAAGAUGAAAAGCACUUUGGAAAGAGAGUCAAAUAGCACGUGAAAUUGUUGAAAGGGAAGCGCUUGCAGCCAGACUUGCCUGUAGUUGCUUAUCCGGACUUUUGUCCGGUGCACUCUUCUGCGGGCAGGCCAGCAUCAGUUUGGGCGGUUGGAUAAAGGUCUCUGUCAUGUACCUCCUUUCGGGGAGGCCUUAUAGGGGAGACGACAUGCAACCAGCCUGGACUGAGGUCCGCGCAUCUGCUAGGAUGCUGGCGUAAUGGCUGUAAGCGGCCCGUCUUGAAACACGGACCAAGGAGUCUAACAUCUAUGCGAGUGUUUGGGUGUCAAGCCCAGACGCGUAAUGAAAGUGAACGGAGGUGGGAACCUUUUAGGUGCACCAUCGACCGAUCCUGAUGUCUUCGGAAGGAUUUGAGUAAGAGCAUGGCUGUUGGGACCCGAAAGAUGGUGAACUAUGCUUGAAUAGGGUGAAGCCAGAGGAAACUCUGGUGGAGGCUCGCAGCGGUUCUGACGUGCAAAUCGAUCGUCAAAUUUGGGCAUAGGGGCGAAAGACUAAUCGAACUAUCUAGUAGCUGGUUCCUGCCGAAGUUUCCCUCAGGAUAGCAGUAACGUAUUCAGUUUUAUGAGGUAAAGCGAAUGAUUAGAGGCCUGGGGGUUGAAACAACCUUCACCUAUUCUCAAACUUUAAAUAUGUAAGAAGUCCUUGUUACUUGAUUGAACGUGGACACUUGAAUGUACCGUUACUAGUGGGCCAUUUUUGGUAAGCAGAACUGGCGAUGCGGGAUGAACCGAACGCGGGGUUAAGGUGCCAGAAUAUACGCUCAUCAGACACCACAAAAGGUGUUAGUUCAUCUAGACAGCAGGACGGUGGCCAUGGAAGUCGGAAUCCGCUAAGGAGUGUGUAACAACUCACCUGCCGAAUGAACUAGCCCUGAAAAUGGAUGGCGCUCAAGCGUAUUACCCAUACCCCGCCGCCGGGGCAGAAUUUAUGCCCCGGCGAGUAGGCAGGCGUGGAGGCUCGUGACGAAGCCUU
rnacentral:rRNA from 1 species